rnacentral:sRNA from 1 species
AACAUAGUGAUAAAUGACAAGACAAUGCUUGUUAUACAUUUACAUGUAGAGAGCACACUCUGGUGUGUUCCGUAGAUACAGAACAUUAAGACAUUCUUUAACCUCUUAGCAUGCAGGUUGUAAUGUUGAAAAGAGGUGCUGUUGGAGAUGUCAUGUUUACUUCUCAAUGAUCUGAGUAUUAAAUGAAGCCUUUUAUCAUUCACUUUUACAGAGGAAGUGCUCUUCAGAAAAGGUUGCGUGAUAGAGAAAAGGAAAUGGAAGCAGAUGAACGAGAUAGGAAGAGAGAGAAGGAGGAGCUUGAGGAAAUCAGGCAGCGCCUUCUGGCAGAAGGGCAUCCAGAUCCAGAUGCAGAGCUCCAGAGGAUGGAACAAGAGGCUGAGAGGCGCAGGCAGCCACAAAUAAAGCAAGAGCCAGAAUCAGAAGAGGAGGAAGAAGAAAAGC